UAAGCAUAUCAAUAAGCGGAGGAAAAGAAACCAACAGGGAUUGCCCUAGUAACGGCGAGUGAAGCGGCAACAGCUCAAAUUUGAAAUCUGGCUUCGGCCCGAGUUGUAAUUUGCAGAGGAAGCUUUAGGCGCGGCACCUUCUGAGUCCCCUGGAACGGGGCGCCAUAGAGGGUGAGAGCCCCGUAUAGUUGGAUGCCUAGCCUGUGUAAAGCUCCUUCGACGAGUCGAGUAGUUUGGGAAUGCUGCUCAAAAUGGGAGGUAAAUUUCUUCUAAAGCUAAAUACCGGCCAGAGACCGAUAGCGCACAAGUAGAGUGAUCGAAAGAUGAAAAGCACUUUGAAAAGAGGGUUAAAUAGCACGUGAAAUUGUUGAAAGGGAAGCGCUUGUGACCAGACUUGCGCCGGGCGGAUCAUCCGGUGUUCUCACCGGUGCACUCCGCCCGGCUCAGGCCAGCAUCGGUUCUCGCGGGGGGAUAAAGGUCCUGGGAACGUAGCUCCUCCGGGAGUGUUAUAGCCCGGGGCGUAAUGCCCUCGCGGGGACCGAGGUUCGCGCAUCUGCAAGGAUGCUGGCGUAAUGGUCAUCAGCGACCCGUCUUGAAACACGGACCAAGGAGUCAAGGUUUUGCGCGAGUGUUUGGGUGUAAAACCCGCACGCGUAAUGAAAGUGAACGUAGGUGAGAGCUUCGGCGCAUCAUCGACCGAUCCUGAUGUUUUCGGAUGGAUUUGAGUAGGAGCGUUAAGCCUUGGACCCGAAAGAUGGUGAACUAUGCUUGGAUAGGGUGAAGCCAGAGGAAACUCUGGUGGAGGCUCGCAGCGGUUCUGACGUGCAAAUCGAUCGUCAAAUCUGAGCAUGGGKGCGAAAGACUAAUCGAACCAUCUAGUAGCUGGUUA
rnacentral:rRNA from 1 species